CACUCGGUGGUGCACUUGGUAACACUGCUGCCUCGCAGCAAGAAGGUUGUGGGUUCGAAUCUGGCCUGGGUCC